GUAGGUGAACCUGCGGAAGGAUCAUUACCAAAUCCAAAUACCCAAACCCCAUGUGAAUUAUUGUAUAGUCUGUCUUUGGGAGAAAAAAAAGUAAAAGAAAAUUGAAAAACUUUAAAAACUUUUCGGUUUUUUGGAUCUUCUUUUCUCCCAAUAGAAUCCGGCGCAACUUUAUUGUUGUGUCCAGAUUCGAAACCCCCCUUUUAAACCACUUGAUUUUUCUGUUGGAAUUACUUUUAUUAAUUUUAAAUAAAAGACAACUUUUAACGGCGGAUCUCUUGGCUCGU
rnacentral:misc_RNA from 1 species